UGGGGAAUCAUGGUCAAUGGGCGAAAGCCUGAACCUGCGACGCCGCGUGAGUGAUGAAGGUCGUAAGAUCGUAAAACUCUUUUCAGGGAUCUUAAAGCCUGUCCGUCAACAACGGGCAGGUCUGACUCUCCCUGGAAGAAGCCCCAGCCAACUACGUGCCAGCAGCUGCGGUAAUACGUAGGGGGCGAGCGUUAUUCGGAAUUACUGGGGGUAAAGGGUAUGUAGGCGGCCCUUCCAGUCGCGCGUCAAAGUCCAGUGCGCAACGCUGGGGGUGCGCGCGAUACUGACGGGCU
rnacentral:rRNA from 1 species